GGUGAUGAGAAAGCCAUUGGUACUAACAAGGGCACCGCGGAUUUUUGCUGGAGAAGCUUCAGAUAUAUACAGAGGAGAUGUCAUUGAUGCCAUUCCCACCCCAAGUCCAACAAAAACACGACCGGUGAUAAGAGCAGCUGGGUUCGGAGCUGAGGCCAUGAUCACAGCACCGCUGAAGAAAAGAAAAUCGGCUAUCAGGAUUGUACUUCUCCUUCCAUAACGAUCAUUCAUCCAGCCACCUAUUGCAGCCCCAAUGAUCGCUCCAGCUACAGCCAUACUGACUAUGCUCUCCUGAUCAGAUCAUAAUGAGAAAGAGAUGAAAAGAAGAACAGAUUUCACCUGUAGAACAGUUCGUCUAUCCACAGACUUGAAGUCAUCUCUGAUGUAAAGAAGAGCUCCGGAAAUAACCCCUGCAAAAUCCCACAGUUAAAAUCAAAAUCACAACUUCUGAAAACCCUCUCAAAGAAACUGGAAAAUGAAGCACCUGUGUCGUAGCCAAAGAGGAGGCCACCGAUUCCAGCGGAGAAAGCAAGGCGGAGAACAUAAGGGUUCUUCCAUGUCAAAGAGAAACACUCUCUGAACGCUGAAAUAUCGGCCUCUGCGUGAACUCCUCCCUCCAUUUUUUUCUAUCUGCAUUGAAAUUUCAGAGAACCAAACUGAGCGAGCAAAAUGAAGAUAAGAGUGAUAAAUAUUGUGAAAUCCUCAUGGAUAAAGUCAAGAAGUCCACCAACUUUGUCUUCGGCUGCUUCUCAUCAGAGGUAAGUCCACGUGAUUUUUAUUAUUUUUUUAUUAAUUAAAUUUAUAAUUAAGCUUUUAUGAAUUAUUGCCUGUGAUUAUUUCUCC